rnacentral:misc_RNA from 1 species
CACAAUAAACAAAAUUUUAGUACUAGAUUGCCUUUAUUACUGUUUAAUUUGUCAUAUGCUGAGUACUCUACUGGCACACACACAGGGCUUUUGAGUCUAGAGUAGAAGAUGAAUGUGCUAGAUUCUUGCCUUCACUAUUUGUUGAGACUUGACAAGGAGAUAGUAUAACCUAUAAUUGAGAGAAAGGAAUGGGGUUAAUGAAAG